CCGGAUUGACCAGGUGUACAGGGCGUGUAGGCUGUUGAGUCAAGUCAUAUGUGAAAUUUCCCAGGCUUAACGUGGGGAGCGUCAUCGGACAGUGCAGGACUUGAGUACUGCAGAGGGAUAGUGGGAUUCCUAGCGUAGCGGUAAAAAGCGUAGAUAGUAGGAGCAACAUCAGUGGAGAAGGCGACUAUCUGGACAGUAACUGACGCUGAGGCGAGAAAGCGUGGGGAGCAAACAGGAUUAGAUACCCUGGUAGUCCCACGCCGUAAACGAUGGAUACUAUGUGUGUGGUGUAUCGACCCCCCCUGUGCCUGAGUUAACACAAUAAGUAUCUCACCUGGGGAGUACGGCCGCAAGGUGGAAACUCAAAGGAAUGGACGGGGGCCCGCCCAAGCAGUGCAGUAUGUGGUUUAAUUCGACGCAACGCGAAGAACCUUUUCAGGGCUGGACAUCCUCUGACAGUUGUAGAGAUGCAGCUUAUGUCAGGAGCAGAGAGACAGGUGGUGCAUGGUUGUAGUCAGCUCGUGUCGUGAGAUGUUGGGUUAAGUCCCGCAAAGAGCGCAACCCUUAUUGCCAGUUGCCAGCAUUGAGUUGGGAACUCUGGCGAGACUGCCGUGGAUAACACGGAGGAAGGUGGGGACGACGUCAAAUCAUCAUGCCCCUUAUGUCCUGGGCUACACACGUACUACAAUGGCAACAACAGAAAGCAGCGAAACCGCGAGGUGAAGCGAAUCUCCAAAUGUUGUCCCAGUUCGGAUUGCAGGCUGCAACUCGCCUGCAUGAAGUCGGAAUUGCUAGUAAUGGCAGGUCAGC
rnacentral:rRNA from 1 species